UAUUUUCUGGAGUGAAGAGAGAAAAACAGAAGAGAAACAUUUGAGGGAGGCACUAUAAGGUGCUCAAGAGUUCAACACAUCCAUUUCCUAUGACCAACUCACUCAGUUUCUCAUUAUGUUGCAGUUGGAUUUCUGAGAUACCAGGAUGAACCAGGACCCCACUGGAAAUCAGACUGUCCAACUCACCCAGCAGCCACUCCUAGAGCCCCUGGAACUCUGGCCCAAGGUUCUCUGAUUGACUCCUUCCCAGAUCUUCUUAACUUAGCAGCUGAAAACUGACACUGGCCGAUUGCCUUGGAAGCCUCCUGGACCAUCACAGAUGCUUUGGGUAACUCUUACAGUGAAGGGUAAGUCCGUCCUCUUCUUAAUCAAUAUGGAGGCUACCCACUCCACAUUACCUUCUUUUCAAGGGCCUGUUUCCCUUGCCUCCAUAACUGUUGUGGGUAUUCAUGGCCAGGCUUCUAAACCUCUUAAUACUCCCCCACUCUGGUGCCAACUUAGACAACAUUCUUUUAUGCAAUCUGUUAUAGUUAUCCCCACCUGCCCAGUUCCCUUAUUAGGCCAAUACAUUUUAACCAACUUAUCUGCUUCUCUGACUAUUCCUGGACUACAGCCACAUCUCAUUGCCACCUUUCUUCCCAACCCAAAGCCUCCUUCGCAUCUUCCUCUUG